GACGAACGCUGGCGGCGUGCCUAAUACAUGCAAGUCGAGCGAGUCUGCCUUGAAGAUCGGAGUGCUUGCACUCUGUGAAACAAGAUACAGGCUAGCGGCGGACGGGUGAGUAACACGUGGGUAACCUGCCCAAGAGAUCGGGAUAACACCUGGAAACAGAUGCUAAUACCGGAUAACAACAGAUGAUGCCUAUCAACUGUUUAAAAGAUGGUUCUGCUAUCACUCUUGGAUGGACCUGCGGUGCAUUCGCUAGUUGGUAGGGUAACGGCCUACCAAGGCGAGGAUGCAUAGCCGAGUUGAGAGACUGAUCGGCCACAUUGGGACUGAGACACGGCCCAAACUCCUACGGGAGGCAGCAGUAGGGAAUCUUCCACAAUGGACGCAAGUCUGAUGGAGCAACGCCGCGUGAGUGAAGAAGGGUUUCGGCUCGUAAAGCUCUGUUGUUGGUGAAGAAGGACAGGGGUAGUAACUGACCUUUGUUUGACGGUAAUCAAUUAGAAAGUCACGGCUAACUACGUG
rnacentral:rRNA from 1 species